GUGAGGAAUAUUGGUCAAUGGGCGGGAGCCUGAACCAGCCAAGUCGCGUGAAGGAAGAAGGAUCUAUGGUUCGUAAACUUCUUUUGCAGGGGAAUAAAGUGCAGGACGUGUCCUGUUUUGUAUGUACACUGAGAAUAAGGAUCGGAUAACUCCGUGCCAGCAGCCGCGGUAAUACGGAGGAUCCGAGCGUUAUCCGGAUUUAUUGGGUUUAAAGGGGGCGUAGGUGGUUUGAUAAGUCAGCGGUGAAAGAUUGCUGCUGAACUGUAGAAAUGCCGUUGAAACUGUCGGACUUGAGUGUAAAUGAGGUAGGCGGAAUGCGUGGUGUAGCGGUGGAAUGCAUAGAUAUCACGCAGAACUCCGAUUGCGAAGGCAGCUUACUAAGCUACAACUGACACUAAAGCACGAAAGCAUUGGGAUCAAACAGGAUUAGAUACCCCGGUAGUCC
rnacentral:rRNA from 1 species